UACGUAGGGUGCGAGCGUUGUCCGGAAUUAUUGGGCGUAAAGAGCUCGUAGGCGGUUUGUCACGUCUGCUGUGAAAUCCCCGAGGCUCAACCUCGGGCCUGCAGUGGGUACGGGCAGACUGGAGUGCGGUAGGGGAGAAUGGAAUUCCUGGUGUAGCGGUGGAAUGCGCAGAUAUCAGGAGGAACACCGGUGGCGAAGGCGGGUCUCUGGGCCGAUACUGACGCUGAGGAGCGAAAGCGUGGGGAGCGAACAGG
rnacentral:rRNA from 1 species